AUUUGCUUUAGCACUGUAUACAUAUUUAAAUUGGGACACUACAGAGGUUAGCAUGGCUCCUCCACAAGGAUGACACACAAGUCUGUGAAGUGUUUUAUGUUUUU